rnacentral:rRNA from 1 species
CCUACGGGGGGCUGCAGUGGGGAAUAUUGGACAAUGGGCGAAAGCCCGAUCCAGCCAUGCCGCGUGUGUGAAGAAGGCCUUCGGGUUGUAAAGCACUUUCAGUGGGGAAGAAAGCCUUGGGGCUAAUACCCUCGAGGAAGGACAUCACCCACAGAAGAAGCACCGGCUAACUCCGUGCCAGCAGCCGCGGUAAUACGGAGGGUGCGAGCGUUAAUCGGAAUUACUGGGCGUAAAGCGCGCGUAGGCGGUCUGAUAAGCCGGUUGUGAAAGCCCCGGGCUCAACCUGGGAACGGCAUCCGGAACUGUCAGGCUAGAGUGCAGGAGAGGAAGGUAGAAUUCCCGGUGUAGCGGUGAAAUGCGUAGAGAUCGGGAGGAAUACCAGUGGCGAAGGCGGCCUUCUGGACUGACACUGACGCUGAGGUGCGAAAGCGUGGGUAGCAAACAGGAUUAGAUACCCUAGUAGUC